AUUCACGAUAUUGUGCAGCCAUCGUCUCUAUCUGAUUCCAAACAUUUUCGUCACCCACAGAGGAGACCCCUUAACCAGUAAGUAGUCACUUCCCAUUCCCACCUCCCCUCAGCCACUGGCAACCUCUAGUCCGCUUUCUGUUUCUAUGGAUUCAUCUAUUCUGAAAAUUUGAUAUAAAUGGAACCCUACAUCACUUGACAUUCUGUGUCUAGGUUCUUUUGCUUCACAUAUGUUGUUUCUCUUUAAGACCAAGGAGACAAUGGGAAGGAGCCAGUCGAGGAGGCAGAAGUUGAAAACACAGGAGACAAGGAGAGCAGGAGAUCAGGUUCUCUGUCGGGAGAGAAGCAAGAAAGUGGAGCUGCAGGAGUUUCUGUAAGUGUCCAGGAGGGGCUGCGCAUCCUCCCAGGGCCGUCCGUGCUUGUGUCGUCUAAAAGCACAAGAGCUGAAAACUGCACGCUGGCGAUUCAACUCGCUGUGUCAAAUACCACACAAGGCCAACCCUGAACAAGACCAGAGAAACCUCCUGGAACAGGAAGCAGAGCGGUGGAAAAUGCCCACACUUUAGAGCCAGAUGGACGUGGGUCCAGUCUUGGCUCUUCUCCCACUCCCCGGGUGAUCUUGGGCAAUUUACUUCUCUUCCUUGAGUCUCAGUUGUCCCUUCUUCACUUUGACAACUUGGAACAGGGAACAGAGGGAGGCAAGGUCUGGAUUAAUUCUGAAGGAGAAGCUACCAGCCGCCCCUCUGGAGAGAUAGGAGAGUCAUGUUGGGGCAAGCCUUUUUCUUAUGAAGAGCUGCUGUUUGCCACCUUUUACUUAAAACUGUGUAUCUAUUUUGCAAACAGGCCCCUUGCCCGAGGUAUCAGAUCACUGUCUUUGUCAAAUAAAGGAAUAACAGGACUUUUUGCUUGACUUAGCUAGGGGGACCCUCACCAAGACCCCUUGAUAGGCAAUGUUCUGAAGGGGUGGGGGGGAGGAAAGGAACUAAGACCCCUACCCCUGGCUCCCUGAGAUUUAAACUUACAAAAACUUGUUGGGGUGUCAUUGACUAAAGUCUGAUGGCAAGAAAAGGACACCCCAGGCCACAAAAGGUUAUAGGGAAUCUGGGAUGGUGACCUCCACACAGGCGCAUAGAGGCAAUCCAGAGGCAGCCACCCUGGCACAGUGUCAACUCUGGGAAUGCGUAUGUGUAUUGAUUAAAAGCAUUGCCAACCUAAAGCCUGGCAUGUGGCACUACUGUGGGCUGGAAAGGACCUGUACCAGCAAGGGCAUCCCCAACAGACAGGGCAAGUGCGCGCUGACCUGAGCAAAAACAGUUUCCAACAGCGACACCUCGUGGCGGCAACUGAAACAACAGUGCUGGUGAGUAGGCUUGAGACGCAAUAUCGACCUCCUUGGACUAAGAAUUUACGCUUCUUGGAAAGUUUAAAGGGACAGCUCAAGAGGUAGAUGACUAGACUUCCUGCUAAUAAAGGUAGUGUUAUUAAAGGAGUU
rnacentral:lncRNA from 1 species